GAAGAACGUAGCAAAAUGCGAUACUUGGUGUGAAUUGCAGAAUCCCGUGAACCAUCGAGUUUUUGAACGCAAGUUGCGCCCGAAGCCAUUCGGCCGAGGGCACGUCUGCCUGGGCGUCACGCAUCGCGUCGCUCCCACCAACCUUCCUUUAGGAUGCUUGGCUG
rnacentral:rRNA from 1 species